rnacentral:lncRNA from 10 species
GCCCGAACUUCCCUGCGGCUGCUGUUCCUGGUGAACAUCGUGACAGAUGACAGCACUAGUCAGCCUCAGAGUCUUCUUUUUGGGCCAGGGGUGGGUGUGCGCUGGUGGGGGUUGGAAGUGAGCCAUCGGAAAGCCCAUCGGAAAGCCCCAGCCCGGAGCCUUCCUGCAGGGAAAAUUGGACAGACACGCACAGGCGGACAGACACGAACUGAUGAAGGCACAGUUUGCAGUCACACGUCUACAAAACCAGGAACGAAUGCCAAGGAAACUGGCAGCCACCAGAGGUUGGAAGAUGCAAGGAAGUAUCCUCUCCUAGAACCUUCAGAGACAGCAUGGCCUUGCUGACCCCUGGAUUUUGGACUUCUGGCCUUUAGAACUGUGAGAGAAUACAUUUCUGUUGUGUUGAGCCACCCAGCACUUUGUGACAGCAGCCCAGGAAGCUGACCCGAUAGACACUGGUCCCAGUCAUCACCCUCUGUGCCAUCACCACACCUCCCCUCCACGAAUCAACCACGACCACAGGACACCUCCUUCUGGAAUCUCUCUGUGCCCACGCACUCCCCAGAUGAGCACUUCCCCUUCCCCUGGCAACUCCCCGGAUUCUUGUUACCCCCACCCCCCGCCCCGGCAUGGCCUGGGCCCAGGAGACAGAUACGAAAUGAAUGAGUGAAUAUCCACCUUUGCUACUUCGUCAUAUUCAGAUGUUCGUAAAAAUCUGUAUGUUCGUCAUAUUCAGAUGUUCGUAAAAAUCAAGUGGCAGCAGUGCUGGGGGUUAAGGAAAUGGGGAGAGUGAUGGCAGAUGUGUGAGGGGAGACAAGGGGCACUUCCAGGUACUCACAGCCAC